GCCUGUCCCAGUUCGGACUGGAGUCUGCAACCCGACUCCACGAAGUUGGAUUCGCUAGUAAUCGCGCAUCAGCCAUGGCGCGGUGAAUACGUUCCCGGGCCUUGUACACACCGCCCGUCAAGCCAUGGGAGCCGGGGGCGCCUGAAGUCCGGGACCGCGAGGACCGGCCUAGGGCGAAACUGGUAACUGGGGCUAAGUCGUAACAAGGUAAC
rnacentral:rRNA from 1 species